UACGUAGGGGGCGAGCGUUGUCCGGAAUUAUUGGGCGUAAAGCGCGCGCAGGCGGUCUUUUAAGUCUGAUGUGAAAGCCCACGGCUUAACCGUGGAGUGUCAUUGGAAACUGAAGGGCUUGAGUACAGAAGAGGAGAGUGGAAUUCCACGUGGAGCGGUGAAAUGCGUAGAUAUGUGGAGGAACACCAGUGGCGAAGGCGACUCUCUGGUCUGUAACUGACGCUGAGGCGCGAAAGCGUGGGUAGCGAACAGG
rnacentral:rRNA from 1 species